rnacentral:rRNA from 1 species
UAAUACGUAGGUCCCGAGCGUUGUCCGGAAUUACUGGGUGUAAAGGGUGCGCAGGCGGUCUUGUGCGUCAGAGGUGAAAUAUCACGGCUCAACCGUGAGGGUGCCUUUGAUACGGCAAGACUUGAGUACGAGAGAGGGUGAUGGAAUUCCUGGUGUAGCGGUGAAAUGCGUAGAUAUCAGGAGGAACACCGGUGGCGAAGGCGGUCACCUGGCUCGUUACUGACGCUCAGGCACGAAAGUGUGGGUAGCAAACAGGAUUAGAUACCCUGGUAGUCCACACCUUAAACGAUGUAUGCUUGGUGUUGGGGUAGCAAUACCUCAGUGCCGAAGGGAACCUCUUAAGCAUACCACCUGGGGAGUACGAUCGCAAGGUUG